rnacentral:rRNA from 1 species
AAGGAUCAUUAAAGAGUAAGGGUGCUCAGCGCCCGACCUCCAACCCUUUGUUGUUAAAACUACCUUGUUGCUUUGGCGGGACCGCUCGGUCUCGAGCCGCUGGGGAUUCGUCCCAGGCGAGCGCCCGCCAGAGUUAAACCAAACUCUUGUUAUUAAACCGGUCGUCUGAGUUAAAAUUUUGAAUAAAUCAAAACUUUCAACAACGGAUCUCUUGGUUCUCGCAUCGAUGAAGAACGCAGCGAAAUGCGAUAAGUAAUGUGAAUUGCAGAAUUCAGUGAAUCAUCGAAUCUUUGAACGCACAUUGCGCCCCUUGGUAUUCCGAGGGGCAUGCCUGUUCGAGCGUCAUUACACCACUCAAGCUAUGCUUGGUAUUGGGUGCCGUCCUUAGUUGGGCGCGCCUUAAAGACCUCGGCGAGGCCUCACCGGCUUUAGGCGUAGUAGAAUUUAUUCGAACGUCUGUCAAAGGAGAGGAACUCUGCCGAUUGAAACCUUUUACUUUUCUAGGUUGACCUCGGAUCAGGUAGGGAUACCCGCUGAACUUAA